rnacentral:rRNA from 1 species
GACGAACGCUGGCGGCGUGCUUAACACAUGCAAGUCGAACGGUGAAGCGCCUUUUUUUUUGGGGUGUGUGGAUGAGCGGCGAACGGGUGCGUAACACGUUAGUAGCCUGCCCCCUUCUUCUGGAUAACCGCAUGAAAGUUUGGCCAAUACGGGAUAUUCUGGGUCUGUCGCAUGAUGGGUCUGGGCGCUAUCAUGUUUCGGUGGGGGGUGGGAGGGCGGCUUAUCAGCUUGUUGGUGGGGUGAUGGCCUACCAAGGCUGUGAGGAGUAGCCGGCCUGGGAGGGUGGACGACCACGGAGCGACGGAGACACCAAGCAGACUCCGACAGGAGGCAGCAGUGAAGAAUAUUGCACGAUGGGCGCAAGCAUGAAGCAGCGACGCGGCGUGAGAGAUGGACGCCUUCGUGUUGUGAACCUCUUUCGCCAGUGAAGCAGACCUGCCUAGUUUGUGGGUGGGUUGACGGUAGCUGGAUAAGAAGCGCCGGCUAACUACGUG